CGGAGGAAAAGAAACUAACAAGGAUUCCCCUAGUAACGGCGAGUGAAGCGGGAAGAGCUCAAAUUUGUAAUCUGGCCCUUUCAGGGUCCGAGUUGUAAUCUCGAGAAGUGUUUUCCGCGCCGGACUGCAUACAAGUCUGUUGGAAUACAGCGUCAUAGUGGUGAGAGCCCCGUAACUGAUGCAGAUGCCCGGUGCUUUGUGAUACACUUUCGAAGAGUCGAGUUGUUUGGGAAUGCAGCUCAAAUUGGGUGGUAAAUUCCAUCUAAAGCUAAAUAUUGGCGAGAGACCGAUAGCGAACAAGUACCGUGAGGGAAAGAUGAAAAGCACUUUGGAAAGAGAGUUAACAGUACGUGAAAUUGUUGGAAGGGAAACGCUUGAAGUCAGACUUGCUAUUCGGAAUUCAGCCGCAAGGUGUACUUUUCGAUUUGCAGGCCAGCAUCAGUUUUUGGGGGUGGAAAAGGGUGGAGAGAAGGAAGCAACCUCGGUUGUGUUAUAGCUCUUUACUGGAUU
rnacentral:rRNA from 1 species